UACGUAGGGCGCAAGCGUUGUCCGGAAUUAUUGGGCGUAAAGAGCUCGUAGGCGGUCUGUCGCGUCGGCUGUGAAAACCCGGGGCUCAACCCCGGGCCUGCAGUCGAUACGGGCAGACUGGAGUACUGCAGGGGAGACUGGAAUUCCUGGUGUAGCGGUGGAAUGCGCAGAUAUCAGGAGGAACACCGGUGGCGAAGGCGGGUCUCUGGGCAGUAACUGACGCUGAGGAGCGAAAGCGUGGGGAGCGAACAGG
rnacentral:rRNA from 1 species